UACGUAGGGGGCAAGCGUUGUCCGGAAUCAUUGGGCGUAAAGAGCGUGUAGGCGGCCCGGUAAGUCCGCUGUGAAAGUCGGGGGCUCAACCCUCGAAUGCCGGUGGAUACUGUCGGGCUAGAGUGCGGAAGAGGCGAGUGGAAUUCCUGGUGUAGCGGUGAAAUGCGCAGAUAUCAGGAGGAACACCAAUUGCGAAGGCAGCUCGCUGGGACGUAACUGACGCUGAGACGCGAAAGCGUGAGGAGCAAACAGG
rnacentral:rRNA from 1 species